AUUGAACGCUGGCGGCAGGCUUAACACAUGCAAGUCGAGCGAGCGGCGGACGGGUGAGUAAUGUCUGGGCAACUGCCUGAUGGAGGGGGAUAACUACUGGAAACGGUAGCUAAUACCGCAUACCAUCAGAUGUGCCCAGAUGGGAUUAGCUAGUAGGUGGGGUAAUGGCUCACCUAGGCGACGAUCCCUAGCUGGUCUGAGCGGAUGACCAGCAAGACGGGAACAGAGACACGGUCCAGACUCCUACGGUAGGCAGCAGUGGGGAAUAUUGCACAAUUGGCGCAAGCCUGAUGCAGCCAUGCCGCGUGUAUGAAGAAGGCCUUCGGGUUGCAAAGUACUUUCAGUCGGGAGGCGUUACCGACAGAAGAAGCACCGGCUAACUCCGUGCCAGCAGCCGCGGUAAUUC
rnacentral:rRNA from 1 species